rnacentral:rRNA from 1 species
GAUGAACGCUGGCGGCGUGCCUAAUACAUGCAAGUCGAGCGAAUGGAUUAAGAGCUUGCUCUUAUGAAGUUAGCGGCGGACGGGUGAGUAACACGUGGGUAACCUGCCCAUAAGACUGGGAUAACUCCGGGAAACCGGGGCUAAUACCGGAUAAUAUUUUGAACUGCAUGGUUCAAAAUUGAAAGGCGGCUUCGGCUGCCACUUAUGGAUGGUCCCGCGUCGCAUUAGCUAGUUGGUGAGGUAACGGCUCACCAAGGCAACGAUGCGUAGCCGGCCUGAGAGGUUGAGCGGCCACACGGGGACUGAGACACGGCCCAGACUCCUACCGGAGGCAGCAGUAGGGAAUCUUCCGCAAUGGACGAAAGUAUGACGGAGCAACGCCGCGUGAGUGAUGAAGGCUUUCGGGUCGUAAAACUCUGUUGUUAGGGAAGAACAAGUGCUAGUUGAAUAAGCUGGCACCUUGACGGUACCUAACCAGAAAGCCACGGCUAACUACGUGCCAGCCGCCGCCGUAA